UUUAUUGGGUCAUUUACACCUAAAGAAGAGAUCUGCAGAGCCUGAACCUCUGGUAGGCGGUCUGCUAAACAGUCUUCCAGUGG